CAUGGACUUAGUAGAGGAUUAAAUACAUACAGGCACUUGAUGACGAAAUGGCUCCAAAGAUUUGUGGUGCCACAAAUCCCCCAUCCACAAUUGAUGAUACUGAAGAGCUGACCACUGAGAGCAAGUGCAUCCAUACAGCCGUCAGCCACCCAAAUCAGACCAGUCCAGAGCUCGGCCCUCUCAUCAAGGUUGGACAGU